rnacentral:rRNA from 1 species
CAGGCCUAACACAUGCAAGUCGAACGGUAACAUGAAAGAGCUUGCUCUUUUGAUGACGAGUGGCGGACGGGUGAGUAAUGUCUGGGGAUCUGCCCGAUGGAGGGGGAUAACUACUGGAAACGGUAGCUAAUACCGCAUAAUGUCGCAAGACCAAAGUGGGGGACCUUCGGGCCUCACGCCAUCGGAUGAACCCAGAUGGGAUUAGCUGGUAGGUGAGGUAAUGGCUCACCUAGGCGACGAUCCCUAGCUGGUCUGAGAGGAUGACCAGCCACACUGGAACUGAGACACGGUCCAGACUCCUACGGGAGGCAGCAGUGGGGAAUAUUGCACAAUGGGCGCAAGCCUGAUGCAGCCAUGCCGCGUGUAUGAAGAAGGCCUUCGGGUUGUAAAGUACUUUCAGCGGGGAGGAAGGGGAUUAAGUUAACAGCUUAGUUCAUUGACGUUACCCGCAGAAGAAGCACCGGCUAACUCCGUGCCAGCAGCCGCGGUAAU